GCAAGUCUUCGGGUUGGUUUACUCAGGUUUCAAUUCCUUUCUUCUUCCUCACCUACGCCAAAGCAUCGACAGGCCACAGCUCAAUAAUCGAUGGCUUCCACGCUUAGCCAAGUCAACAAUCCCAUUAGUCACACCUCCGUCACAUCCCCUAUUUUCAUCACCACCGAAUUUCUACACUCCGUUCUCUCACACCGCUCCUUAAUUCAACAUUUCUACACCUCUCUACCCACCGUCUCUCCCACACUCCAUACUCCGAUUCGCCAAAGCUAUGCCGUUUCACCAUCAUCCUCUCUCCUUCUUAUGCCCUCUUGGUCUUCCUCUCCCUUCCUUCCCUAUAUAGGUAUAAAGCUUAUCACCUAUUUCCCUGGUAACUCCAUGCUAAACUUGCCCGGAAUUCAUGCAAGCUACGUGCUCUUUAGCUCCACAACUGGGCAAACUUUGGCCUCUAUGGAUGGCACUGUGUUGACCCUCUAUAGAACAGCUUGUGUAUCUGGCUU
rnacentral:misc_RNA from 1 species